GACGAAUGCUGGCUGCGGGCUCAACACAUACAACUCAAACGGAAAGGCCCUGCUUUUGUGGGGUGCACGAGUAGCCGACGGGCGAGUAACACGUGAGUACACUUCACUUGACUGUGGGCUAACUUCAGGAAACUGUGGCGUAUCGCGGGUAGGAGCUACUGCGGCAGGGUGUGGGUUGGUUAGUUUCGGCGGUCAGGGAUGUACGAGCGGCUUAUCAGCUUGUUGGUGUGGUCGUGGCUUACCAAGGCUGUGACGGGUAACCUGCCUGCGAGGGUGACCGGCCACAUUGGGACUGAGAUGCGGCACAGACUCCUACGGGAGGCAGCAGUGCGGAAUAUUGCACAAUGGGCGGAGGCCUGAUGCAGCAGCGCCGCGUGCGGGAUGACGGCCGUCGGGGUGUAACCCGCUUUCGCCUGUGACGAAGCGUGAGUAACGGUACUGGGUAAAGAAGCACCGGCUAACUACGUG
rnacentral:rRNA from 1 species